GACGAACGCUGGCGGCGUGCUUAACACAUGCAAGUCGAACGGAAAGGCCCUGCUUUUGUGGGGUGCUCGAGUGGCGAACGGGUGAGUAACACGUGAGUAACCUGCCCUUGACUUUGGGAUAACUUCAGGAAACUGGGGCUAAUACCGGAUAGGAGCUCCUGCUGCAUGGUGGGGGUUGGAAAGUUUCGGCGGUUGGGGAUGGACUCGCGGCUUAUCAGCUUGUUGGUGGGGUAGUGGCUUACCAAGGCUUUGACGGGUAGCCGGCCUGAGAGGGUGACCGGCCACAUUGGGACUGAGAUACGGCCCAGACGCCUACGGGAGGCAGCAGUGGGGAAUAUUGCACAGUGGGCGGAAGCCUGAUGCAGCAGCGCCGCGUGCGGGAUGACGGCCUUCGGGUUGUAAACCGCUUUCGCAUGUGACGAAGCGUGAGUGACGGUAAUGGGUAAAGAAGCACCGGCUAACUACGUG
rnacentral:rRNA from 1 species